rnacentral:rRNA from 1 species
GACGGAGGAUGCAAGUGUUAUCCGGAAUCACUGGGCGUAAAGCGUCUGUAGGUGGUCAAAUAAGUCAACUGUUAAAUCUUGAGGCUCAACCUCAAAAUCGCAGUCGAAACUAUUAGACUAGAGUAUAGUAGGGGUAAAGGGAAUUUCCAGUGGAGCGGUGAAAUGCGUAGAUACUGGAAAGAACACCGAUGGCGAAGGCACUUUACUGGGCUAUUACUAACACUCAGAGACGAAAGCUAGGGUAGCAAAUGGG